rnacentral:rRNA from 14 species
UUAAGUUGUUGCAGUUAAAAAGCUCGUAGUUGGAUUUCUGGUAGGAGCACGGGUCGGCCCUCACGGGUUGUACUGUUGUUGCGUCCUGCCGUUUCGGAGGGAAUGGUCUCGCUAUUAGGUUAGUGUGGUCGGGAACUCUGUCGUUUACUGUGAAAAAAUUAGAGUGUUCAAAGCAGGCCUUCGCUGUGAAUACAUUAGCAUGGAAUAAUAAGAUAGGACUAUGGUGCUAUUUUGUUGGUUUGCGUACUAUGGUAAUGAU